rnacentral:rRNA from 1 species
UACGGGGGGAGCAAGCGUUGUUCGGAUUUACUGGGCGUAAAGGGCGCGUAGGCGGUCAGUGCAAGUCAGUUGUGAAAUCUCCGGGCUUAACUCGGAAAGGUCAACUGAUACUGCUCGACUGGAGUGCGGAAGGGGCAACUGGAAUUCUUGGUGUAGCGGUGAAAUGCGUAGAUAUCAAGAGGAACACCUGCGGCGAAGGCGGGUUGCUGGGCCGACACUGACGCUGAUGCGCGAAAGCUAGGGGAGCGAGCGGG